CGUUUAGUGGCGAACGGGUGAGUAAUACAUAGGUAACCUACCCUUAAGACGAGGAUAGCCAUUGGAAACGAUGGAUAAAACUGGAUAGGAUAUAGAGGAAGAAUCUUUUAUAUUUAAAAGAGAGAUCUGCUUAAGGAGGGGCCUGUGGCGCAUUAGCUAGUUGGUGGGGUAAGGGCCUACCAAGGCGAUGAUGCGUAGCCGGACUGAGAGGUUGAACGGCCACAAUGGAACUGAGAACGGUCCAUACUCCUACGGAAGGCAGCAG
rnacentral:rRNA from 1 species